GACGAACGCUGGCGGCAGGCUUAACACAUGCAAGUCGAGCGCCCCGCAAGGGGAGCGGCAGACGGGUGAGUAACGCGUGGGAAUCUACCCAUCUCUACGGAAUAACGCAUGGAAACGUGUGCUAAUACCGUAUACGUCCUUCGGGAGAAAGAUUUAUCGGAGAUGGAUGAGCCCGCGUUGGAUUAGCUAGUUGGUGGGGUAAAGGCCUACCAAGGCGACGAUCCAUAGCUGGUCUGAGAGGAUGAUCAGCCACACUGGGACUGAGACACGGCCCAGACUCCUACGGGAGGAAGCAGUGGGGAAUAUUGGACAAUGGGCGCAAGCCUGAUCCAGCCAUGCCGCGUGAGUGAUGAAGGCCCUAGGGUUGUAAAGCUCUUUCACCGGUGAAGAUAAUGACGGUAACCGGAGAAGAAGCCCCGGCUAACUUCGUGCCAGCCGCCGCGGUAACAC
rnacentral:rRNA from 1 species